GUACCAGACUCCUACGGGAGGCAGCAGUGAGGAAUAUUGGUCAAUGGGCGGGAGCCUGAACCAGCCAAGUCGCGUGAGGGAAGACGGUCCUAUGGAUUGUAAACCUCUUUUGUCGGGGAGCAAAGAGGCCUCGUGAGGUCAAAAGCGAGAGUACCCGAAGAAAAAGCAUCGGCUAACUCCGUGCCAGCAGCCGCGGUAAUACGGAGGAUGCGAGCGUUAUCCGGAUUUAUUGGGUUUAAAGGGUGCGCAGGCGGAAUGUCAAGUCAGCGGUAAAAUUUCGGGGCUCAACCCCGUCGUGCCGGUGAAACUGGCGUUCUUGAGUGAGCGAGAAGUAUGCGGAAUGCGUGGUGUAGCGGUGAAAUGCAUAGAUAUCACGCAGAACCCCGAUUGCGAAGGCAGCAUGCCGGCUUCCGACUGACGCUGAAGCACGAAAGCGUGGGGAUCGAACAGGAUUAGAUACCCUUGUAUA
rnacentral:rRNA from 1 species